UUACAAGUUCUAACCAUCCCCUCACCUCCGCGGCUACCCCCAGCCGAACCCUAGAGGGUUGAGGCCUAAAUCUUUUCCUUUCUCCGGUCCAUGGUCCGUCCAUUUCGAUCACGAAGUGAAUCGGACUCGGAGAGUGUGACAGAGAGAAAUUGAUUCGAGCUCCGAUGUCUGCUCUCGUUCGAUUUUCGAGAGCGGCGAGGUCGAAGCUUAGAUGCAAUCUUCUUCGUCAUCCCUAUCCAUGCAUCCCUCCUUCAUCUGUGCUUGGCGCUGAUGCAUCCCUCCUUCAUCUGUGCCUGGACGAGCGCAGUUUCUGUUCACAAUCUCGACACGAUAAUCGAGACGGUGGCAUCGAUUUGAGCCAAUACUCGCCGGAAAAAAUCCGAAACUUCUCCAUCAUCGCUCAUGUCGACCAUGGCAAAUCGACGCUUGCAGAUCGGCUUUUGGAGCUCACGCAGACCAUCAAGCGGGGGCACGGGCAGCCGCAGUACCUCGACAAGCUUCAGGUAGAAAGAGAGAGAGGUAUAACGGUCAAAGCACAAACAGCAGCUAUGUUCCAUUGGCAUUCAUUUGGUCAUCCGGAUGCAUGUGACUCGCAAACUGCACCUUGUUUUUUGUUAAACCUGAUAGACACCCCUGGUCAUGUGGAUUUUAGCUAUGAAGUAUCAAGAUCACUCGCAGCUUGCCAGGGUGCACUUUUAGUUGUUGAUGCUGCUCAGGGAGUUCAAGCACAGACAGUUGCUAAUUUUUAUCUUGCCUUUGAAUCAAACUUAAGUAUUAUCCCUGUGAUAAACAAAAUUGAUCAGCCUACUGCUGAUCCGGAUCGUGUUAAAGCUCAGUUGAAGUCCUUGUUUGACCUUGAUCCUAAAGAUGUCCUUUUAACUUCUGCAAAAACUGGACAAGGGCUUGAGCAAGUCCUGCCUGCUGUUAUAGAGCGUAUACCUCCUCCCCCUGGAAAAUGUGAUUCACCUUUGCGAAUGCUUUUGUUAGAUUCUUAUUAUGAUGAAUACAAAGGUGUAAUCUGCCAUGUUGCUGUGGUUGAUGGCACUCUACGCAAAGGGGACAAGAUUGCAUCUGCUGCAACUGGUCAGAGUUAUGAAAUAUUAGAUGUUGGAAUAAUGCAUCCUGAGCUUACACCCACUGGAAUGCUUUUCACUGGACAAGUUGGUUAUGUUGUUAGUGGCAUGCGUUCUACCAAAGAGGCACGUGUUGGUGAUACGCUUUAUCAUGCCAAAAGUGUUGUAACUCCUCUUCCAGGUUUCAAGCCUGUAAAACACAUGGUUUUUUCAGGCCUUUAUCCGGCUAAUGGAUCUGAUUUUGAAGCCCUUGAUCAUGCAAUAGAGCGAUUAACUUGCAAUGAUGCUAGUGUGUCAGUUGCCAAAGAGUCUAGUACCGCACUUGGCCUGGGGUUCAGGUGUGGGUUUUUAGGUUUACUUCACAUGGAUGUCUUUCAUCAGCGGCUUGAACAAGAGUAUGGAGCUCAGCUCAUAUCGACAGUACCAACUGUACCUUAUAUAUUCGAGUAUUCGGAUGGCAGUAAGGUACAAGUUCAAAAUCCUGCUGCACUGUCUUCAAAUCCUGGAAAGCGUGUUACUGCUUGCUGGGAACCUUCUGUUAUUGCUACCAUUAUUAUUCCUAGUGAGUAUGUUGGGCCUGUAAUUACACUUUGUUCAGAAAGGAGAGGAGAGCAGCUCGAAUAUUCAUUUAUUGACAGUCAGAGAGCACUUAUGAAGUACCGACUGCCACUAAGGGAACUUAUUGUGGACUUCUACAAUGAAUUGAAAAGUAUAACAUCUGGAUAUGCUACAUUUGACUAUGAGGAUUCUGAAUAUCAAAAAUCCGAUUUAGUUAAACUCGAUAUCCUUCUUAAUGGGCAACCAGUUGAUGCUAUGGCAGCCAUAGUACAUAAUCUGAAGGCACAAAGGGUUGGACGUGAAUUGGUAGAUAAACUUAAGAAAUUUAUAGACAGGCAUAUGUUUGAGAUAACAAUACAAGCUGCAAUUGGAUCGAAAGUCGUCGCAAGGGAGACCCAUGACUGCAAUCUUGACUUCGAUAAGGGCUCUUUGAUUGGCUGUACCUCAUUUCAGCCUUUCGGCAAUGAGAAAGAAUGUCCUAGCAAAAUGCUAUGGUGGCGAUGUUACUCGUAAGAAGAAGCUAUUAGAGAAGCAGAAGGAAGGGAAGAAGCGCAUGAAGCGUGUGGGAUCUGUGGACAUACCACAGGAAGCAUUCCAUGAGCUCUUGAAGAUUUCUUGAUGGCAGAACAGCAUUCCGGCUACAAGAUUUUCAAAUGAUGGAACUCAGAUGUCAAGGUUUCACGAGGCAGAUAACCAGAAGAGAGCGAUGAGUAAGCAGCUCCGUGAUGCUGCAUCAACAUUUUUAAAGAGUUUCUUGUUGUAAUAUGAAGCCUUGAUCUUAGAGAAUCGGAGCAGCCAAGAUAUUAUAAAUUUCAGAUCGUAAUUGGAUGAGUCCUCUCUCUUGUCCAACAUUAUAUAUUUUUUGUGACUUCAAUAAGAAAAAAAAUAUAUUUAUUUUA